AUUGAACGCUGGCGGAAUGCUUUACACAUGCAAGUCGAACGGUAGAGGGGGCAACCCCUCGAGAGUGGCGAACGGGUGAGUAAUAUAUCGGAACGUGCCCAGUCGUGGGGGAUAACGUAGCGAAAGUUACGCUAAUACCGCAUACGAUCUAAGGAUGAAAGCGGGGGAUCGCAAGACCUCGCGCGAUUAGAGCGGCCGAUAUCAGAUUAGGUAGUUGGUGGGGUAAAGGCUCACCAAGCCAACGAUCUGUAGCUGGUCUGAGAGGACGACCAGCCACACUGGAACUGAGACACGGUCCAGACUCCUACGGGAGGCAGCAGUGGGGAAUUUUGGACAAUGGACGCAAGUCUGAUCCAGCCAUUCCGCGUGCAGGAUGAAGGCCCUCGGGUUGUAAACUGCUUUUGUACGGAACGAAAAGGUCUCUCUUAAUACGGGGGGCUCGUGACGGUACCGUAAGAAUAAGCACCGGCUAACUACGUGCCAGCAGCCGCGGUAA
rnacentral:rRNA from 1 species